rnacentral:rRNA from 1 species
GACGAACGCUGGCGGCGUGCCUAAAACAUGCAAGUCGAACGGUGUAGCAAUACACAGUGGCGAACGGCGGAGUAAUACAUGAACAACGUGCCCGGAAGACUGGGAUAGUCAGGGGAAACCCUGGGUAAUACCAGAUGUGGCCACUCUUUGGCAUCUUAGAGUGAUUAAAUGGUUUUUCGCUUCCGGAGCGGUUCAUGGCCUAUCAGGUAGUUGGUGAGGUAAUGGCUCACCAAGCCGACGACGGGUAGCGGGUCUGAGAGGAUGAUCCGCUCGAGUGGGACUGAGACACGGCCCACACACCUACGGGUGGCAGCAGUUGGGAAUCUUGCACAAUGGGGGAAACCCUGAUGCAGCGACGCCGCGUGGAGGAUGAAGGAUCUAGGUCUGUAAACUCCUUUUUCAGGGAAAGACUUAGGACGGUACCCUGAGAAUAAGGACCGGCUAACUACGUGCCAGCCGCCGCGGUAAC